GUGCCCUUGCAGCAGGUCCAGAAGUCCAGUCAUGCCAACGUGAGCUCAGAGAGUCUAGUCUGCAUGGGGUCUGAAGCAGCAGCAGGCAGAAACACGUUGCGUUGGCUUGCAAACAAAGGCGUUGGUGCUCUAAAACAAAGGAAGGAAACCAACCCCCGGACUUGAGUAACUCUAAGCAGAAAUUCAGGUCUGAUUUCGUCUGGAGGAUGCCGGGUGGGCUGAGAGCCUCAAGGGAUAAUGCUUUACGGCCAAUGUGCUUUCCAAAGGAGACGGAUGAUUCUCCCCCUCUGCAGAUAGAGAAGCUGAAGUACACGGAGGCUAAGAGACGUGCCCAAGGUCACACGGUAUCAUCACUGGCAGAGGCAGGAAUAGCCGAGGGGCUUUCUGGCCACAUGGGUCGUAGUCUCGCCGCUGUCCCCUUCCUGCAUGGAGUUCACCGAAAACAAGCAAAAGCAUCUUUA